UACAGAGGGUGCGAGCGUUAAUCGGAAUUACUGGGCGUAAAGGGCUCGUAGGCGGCCAACUAAGUCAGACGUGAAAUCCCUCGGCUUAACCGGGGAACUGCGUCUGAUACUGGUUGGCUUGAAUCCGGGAGAGGGAUGUGGAAUUCCAGGUGUAGCGGUGAAAUGCGUAGAUAUCUGGAGGAACACCGGUGGCGAAGGCGGCAUCCUGGACCGGUAUUGACACUGAGGCGCGAAAGCCAGGGGAGCAAACGGG
rnacentral:rRNA from 1 species